rnacentral:rRNA from 1 species
GACGAACGCUGGCGGCAUGCCUAAUACAUGCAAGUCGAGCGAACAGAUGAAGUGCUUGCACUUCUGACGUUAGCGGCGAACGGGUGAGUAACACGUAAGGAAUCUACCUAUAAGCGGGGGAUAACAUUCGGAAACGGGUGCUAAUACCGCAUAAUAUCUUCUUCCGCAUGGAAGAAGAUUGAAAGACGGCUCUGCUGUCACUUAUAGAUGACCUUGCGGUGCAUUAGUUAGUUGGUGGGGUAACGGCCUACCAAGACGAUGAUGCAUAGCCGACCUGAGAGGGUGAUCGGCCACAUUAGGACUGGGACACGGCCCAAACUCCUACGGGAGGCAGCAGUAGGGAAUCUUCCGCAAUGGGCGAAAGCCUGAUGGAGCAAUGCCGCGUGAGUGAAGAAGGCCUUCGGGUCGUAAAACUCUGUUAUAAGAGAAGAACAAAUUGUAGAGUAACUGCUACAGUCUUGACGGUAUCUUAUCAGAAAGCCACGGCUAACUACGUGCCAGCAGCCGCAGUAA